UUUUUAAAUUUUUCUAAAAUUUCCUGUUUUAAAAAACUCAGAUAUAUGCAAAGUUGCAAGUAGUGCACAAAUAACUUAUUUUUCCUGAAUCCUUUGAGUUAUGCAGUUGCUGCCACUGGGAACCAGACAGGUAAGCCUGAGAUCUGACUAUAUGGGGUUGGUGGCAAUGACCUCACCCCAACACCUAGUAUCAUACUGAACAGGGGAAAACUGAAAACCUAUCUUCUAAGAUCUAGAACAAGACAAGGAUGCUGACUUUUAUCACUUUUAUUCAACAUAGUACUGAACGUUCUAGCCAGAGCAAUGAGACAAGAGAAAUAAAUAAAAAGCAUUCAAAUUAGAAAGGAAGAAGUCAAUUAGAAAGGAAGAAGUCAAAUUAUCCUGGAUAGCAGAUGAUAUCAUCUUAUAUUUAGAAAAAUGCAGACAUUACCAAAAAACUAUUAGAACUGGCAAAUAAAUUCAGUAAACGUUCAGUUUACAAAAUCAACACACAAAAAAUUAGUAGCAUUUCUAUAUGCCAAUAGCAAACAAUUUGAAAAAAAAACCAAGAAAGUAAUUCCAUUUACAAUGGCUACAAAUAAAAUAUCUAAAAAUUAACAAAAGAAGGGAAAGAUCUUUUCAAUUAAAACUAUAAAACAUUGAUAAAAUAAAUUGAAGAAGACACAAAAAAUGAAAAGAUAGCCCAUGUUCAUGGAUUGGAAGCAUCAAUAUUGUUUAAAUGUUCAUACUACCCAAAGCAAUCUACAGAUUCAAUGCAAUCCCUAUCAAAAUAUCAAUGACAUUCUUCACAAAAAAACUUAACAUUUAUAUGAAACCACAAAAGAUCCAGAAUUACCAAAGCCACCCUGAGCAAAAAUAACAAAACUGGAAAAAUCACAUUAUCUGACUUCGAAUUAUACUACAAAGCUAUAGUAACAAAAACAGCAU
rnacentral:lncRNA from 10 species